rnacentral:lncRNA from 7 species
AGGUCACUGUAAAUGUAACACAAGCCCUAUUUCCUGUUAGGAGAGGGGAAAAAUAUGCCUGUGAAUUGUCUCUGAUGUGCUGCCAAUUGUCAGAGAAGAUUCAAUUUGGUGGAGAAUUACUAUGCUCUUAAAGAGCUGCGCUAGUGACAGAGAUUUAGGGCAUCUACUCCUUCCAGAGAGGGGAGGUAACGGCGUGCUGUGACCAAGUGGCUGGACAAGGUCUCUGCUCUGCUCUACGUGAUGGGAUAGAAGUGUGACACCAGUCUGGGACCCAAGGCUUCUGAAAGAAGAAGAAAAAAAGGAGAAGACAGAGCUGAAGGUGAUCCAAAGGACAGGGUUGCCCUGCUGGCCCUAUAAGAGCAGUUGGGUGGCUGCGUAACGCUGCCAGCAUGUAUAUAUUAUCCAUCUCUCCCCACCCCGGCCUAACCCAGAUGCUGCAUGACUGAUUGUACCCCAGAGAAGCUCCAGCCUCUUCAGCCUCCAUUUUAGAAAUUCAUGAGGUGGCCACCAAGGACUUGUACUACUGGCAGACAUUGCUAGGAGUUGCAGAUCCAAGAAAUCAAACAGGAAAUCUACUCCUAGAACUUCAGUUUCAAGGAAAGUCCAGAAAUUGGAGGAGAACGAGCAGAUCUCUGAGUCGCCAUAAAACUACCCCUGUUCUUGCUUUUCCGAACUGGUAUAACUGGCAUGCGGAAUGCAACAGCUGGUUAACUCUGCAAUGAUCCAAGAGCAGCAGAAGACAAGGAGUGCAGAGGGGGCUGCCUUCUUCUGCCAAGUGUAAAACUAAGCAGCUGCUUUAUAUUUUCACAUGAACAAAAAUGUUUUGUUAACUGCUUCCCUGCCAAAGGCAGUAUGAUGUGCCUACAAUAGGCUAUGGCUGCUGGACUACGGGUUACUGGGCAUCAACAGGCUUAGUGAGGCUCCUUUUUUUCCAAGCAGUGGCCAAUAGCAUCCAGGACAAGUGCUUCCAUCACAGCAGGAAUGCUUGCAGGACAGAAUUCAAGUGACUUUAUUUUCUCUUUAGAGCAUAAAGCAUACCCAUAUGUGCAAAAAAGAAAAAGCACCCUUAAAAGAACAUUCUUAAGACUGCAAAUGCUUAAUAGCUAGGAAAUGCCACUGGAGAAAUAUGCUUUCUGCUCAUCUUUAAUUAUAUAUAAUAGACUCAUAAAAGGAUAGGGGUGGAAUAGACCUUAAUAUGUCAACUAAUUCUCCCUAACUCAAGCAAGAUUGGCUCUGUCAUCUAACAGUUGUCAAACCUGUCUUUCAAUAUCUCAAGUCCCCAAGAUUUUUUUUUCAAAGAAGUGUGGCUUUUGGGGAUCCUGGGGAGGUUGCAUUAAGGCUUUCCAGAACUGAAGAUCUUCAUCUUAUUAUACAAAUGAAAAGGUGGAUGAGGAAACUACUGUUAAUUAAAAGAAAAGUGAGAUUUCUUUUUUUAGAAUCAGAGUAUCGGAAGUGAGGCUGAGAAGAAAGCAUUUCACCCACCAAAGGAUAUACAGCCUGGAGAUCUGUCUGGAGAAUCUCCCAAUGGUUCCCAAGAGCAGCUGAUUUUAACAUACCAUUGCCCCAUGAAGAGGUACAGUGAAGGAAUUUUGCAGGCCUCAAAACAGAAAGGCUGGGAACACCGUAGUGGUCAUCAAAUGGAGAACAACAGUGUAGCCGGAAAAAAGAAUCCCAAACAAGAGCUUUAAAACAUCUUCAUUACAUUUUAAUAUCACUCUUGAUUUAGUUGAAGGAAAAUACUUCUGUUUAUAAAUUAACGUAGGUUAGUUCCACUGAAGAAACUCUUUGUUUUGCCACAUUAGAACAAAUACUUUGAAAUUGAAUUUUCUAUGGGUUGAAGCCCUGCUGUUACUGAACUGAAUGCUAUAAAACUGACUUGGAGCAAAAGCAACAGUGGGCCAAGCCUUGUAGUUUUUAUGGAAACCUCAAUAUGCCUCCAAGUAUUUCUAAGCCACCCAUUCACACCAGCAUCUGAGAUGAAUCAUUUCUCAUGAAUACGUUGGCUGAUAGAUCUCCUUCUCUCUGUUAG